rnacentral:tRNA from 1 species
CUUUUCAUGGCGUAGUGGUAACGCGCCCCAACUAGAGAUUGGGGGGUCGUGAGUUCGAUUCUCACUGAGAAGA